rnacentral:rRNA from 1 species
GACGAACCGUGCGAACGUUGUUCGGAAUCACUGGGCUUAAAGGGCGCGUAGGCGGGCUGCCAAGUCUGGGGUGAAAUCCCACGGCUCAACCGUGGAACUGCCUCGGAUACUGGCGGCCUCGAGGGGGGUAGGGGCAUGCGGAAUUGUGGGUGGAGCGGUGAAAUGCGUUGAUAUCCACAGGAACUCCGGUGGCGAAGGCGGCAUGCUGGACCUCUACUGACGCUGAGGCGCGAAAGCCAGGGGAGCAAACGGG